AGGAGAGUUUGAUCCUGGCUCAGGACGAACGCUGGCGGCGUGCCUAACACAUGCAAGUCGAACGGAACUACUAGGAAGGAUCUCUUCGGAGAAACGGAAUUUUAGUUUAGUGGCGGACGGGUGAGUAACGCGUGAGUAACCUGCCUUUGAGAGGGGAAUAACGUUCUGAAAAGAACGCUAAUACCGCAUAACAUAUACUGAUCGCAUGGUCGGUAUAUCAAAGAUUUUAUCGCUCAAAGAUGGACUCGCGUCCGAUUAGCUUGUUGGCGGGGUAACGGCCCACCAAGGCGACGAUCGGUAGCCGGACUGAGAGGUUGAACGGCCACAUUGGGACUGAGACACGGCCCAGACUCCUACGGGAGGCAGCAGUGGGGGAUAUUGCGCAAUGGGGGCAACCCUGACGCAGCAACGCCGCGUGAAGGAUGAAGGUUUUCGGAUUGUAAACUUCUUUUGUCAGGGACGAAAUCUGACGGUACCUGACGAAUAAGCUCCGGCUAACUACGUGCCAGCAGCCGCGGUAAUACGUAGGGAGCAAGCGUUGUCCGGAUUUACUGGGUGUAAAGGGUGCGUAGGCGGCUAAGCAAGUCAGAUGUGAAAUCUAUGGGCUCAACCCAUAAACUGCAUUUGAAACUGCAUAGCUUGAGUGAAGUAGAGGCAGGCGGAAUUCCCCGUGUAGCGGUGAAAUGCGUAGAGAUGGGGAGGAACACCAGUGGCGAAAGCGGCCUGCUGGGGCUUAACUGACGCUGAAGCACGAAAGCGUGGGUAGCAAACAGGAUUAGAUACCCUGGUAGUCCCCU
rnacentral:rRNA from 1 species